rnacentral:rRNA from 1 species
GUUAAAAAGCUCGUAGUUGGAUUCUGUGGGGACGAGCGGCCGGCCGCUACUAGCGGUUCGAGCUAGCGCUUUCCUUACAUCCUGCCGCGAACCGCGCUACCAUUAGUUUGGCGGCGCCGGGGAUCGGCUCGUUUACGUUGAGAAAAAAUAGAGUGUUCAAAGCAGGCCACACGCCUUGAAUAAGUUAGCAUGGAAUAAUAACUAAGGACUUCGGGUUCUAUUUUGUUGGUGUUCGGGACUGAAGUAAUGAUUGAUAGGGACAGUUGGGGCGGUCCGUAUUCCAAAGCGAGAGGUGAAAUUCUUAGACCUUCGGA